rnacentral:rRNA from 1 species
CAGUCGCCGCGGUAAUACGAAGGGUGCAAGCGUUAAUCGGAAUUACUGGGCGUAAAGCGUGCGUAGGCGGUUUGUUAAGUCUGCUGUGAAAUCCCCGGGCUCAACCUGGGAAUGGCAGUGGAUACUGGCAAGCUAGAGUGUGUCAGAGGAUGGUGGAAUUCCCGGUGUAGCGGUGAAAUGCGUAGAGAUCGGAAGGAACAUCUGUGGCGAAGGCGACUAUCUGGACCAUUACUGACGCUGAGGCGCGAAAGCUAGGGGAGCAAACAGGAUUAGAUACCCCAGUAGUCCCUGUCUCUUAUAC